GGCAGAGCUCAGUGGUAGCGCGUGUGCUUAGCAUGCACAAGAUCCUGGGUUCAAUCCCCAGCACUUCCA
rnacentral:tRNA from 1 species